UCCACAAUCGACAACGCAUCUGAGAAUCUGACGUCGCAACGAUUCUCGGGCUAUCAACGAAAAUAAUAAAUACAACAAAGUCUGCAGUGCACAUAGUAUGUAUGCACAUACAUAGUACGUACAUACAUGCAUAUACCUACAUACAUAUGUAUGUACUGUUUUUUGCUAUGUAUCUAUAGGUGAUUCUUCCAUUUACUGACGAAUAUGUGCAUGCAAAACGUUCCACUGUAAAACACCUACAUAUGUACAUAACUACGUGUGCAACAGUGUGCUGCUGAGGCGUAAUAGAGUGGAACAAAGAACGGAACGGGCGGGCGAGGGCCUAGAACAGAGCAGCACAGAGGAGAAUCGAUCAGCACGGAAAUGAACGGAACGGAACUGAACGGUAAAGAUCACAGCUGAGGCGGAAUUGUCCAUGCCAUAUUCCACGCUCCUUGCGAAAAGCAAACAAAAAGCUCAGCCCCUCCCCACACAAAGAAAUGUCCUUCCGGCCUUCUCCGGCGACAUGCCAGCGAUAGCAUGUGUUAAUCAGCUAAUCGCGCCGAGAGGAAAGGAGAGGAGAGGAGAAGGAGAAGUUUAAGGCACCCCAACCAAAUACCCAAGUACUCAAAUGGGAACAAAAUUAAGCAGAAACAGAAAAGAUUUGUUUAAGGAUAAUGUAUUAACACGAAUGACAUACAUAUAUCAUCAUAUGCUUACACAUAUAUAUACAUAUAUGUACUUACAUGAAUAUAUGUACAAUGUACAUAUAUACUCGACACACGAAUGCAUUCACACAAGAAAGUCUGUAUGUCUAAUUGUAUCAGCCGUUUAUUGGCUCCACAAAGAGACAACCUCACGAAUUCAAAAUCCAUCCGUAAGUGUGAAGAAAGCUGGAAAAGACUGGGGACACGUCAGAGGACUGGGGCUGAGGCUGUGACUGAGGUCUGUUCUGGUCUGGACAAGGGCCAGUCAUUGUCGUCACAACCACCGUGGCCCAAAGUCUGUCCUCACAACAGUGUCAUCUUAACAUCUACGUUUUCUGUUCUGCUCGAUUGCCUACGACGAUCUCUAUAUGAAAUUGAGAAAGUAGAAAGCAGCAAGGUCCUAUCAUGGUUAUCCUGGAUCCUGGAGCUUCCUAGCCUACGAGUCGAGUAUGUGCUGCCAGAUCCCAACAGUUUACCCCUGCACGAGGGGGUAUAAGAGCGGUUUCAUAUGUCAAGUCAAUCGAAGUUCCAGCUUUGCUGUUCACUCUAAAGCUUUGUGAACAACACCCCAAAUAUAAUAAUAACAACAGAUAAACAGUGGGAGGGAGGAGCGGCAGAAACGGGAGGUUGACGCAGUAGGCGCAAUACCGAAUCGUUUGUUCAAACGACAAUAGAAACAAAAUGAAACCCAAGAGCGAGCAGUAGUGCAUCUCACCUGUGUCCAGCUCGUUCUCGUAGUCAAAGUACUUGGGCGACUCCUUCUUGAAGAACUCGAUGAAGUCGUUGCGUGUCAGUGUGCCAGCCUGGAGUUUCAGCCGCCACUCCUUCAGCGGGGUGCUGCACUCGUCCGGGGGGCCCACUACAACGUCGUCCAUAUCGAAAAGAUCCAUCUUCUUCCUCCCAGUGUCAGUGUGUGUCCCUCCCUAUGCUCAAUGCCCGAUGCAAUGUUCGAUGCUCGUGGCGCUGGUGUGAGUGUGAUGUGUGGGAUGGGGUCGCUCUGCUGCAGUUUUAAUGCUUUUGGUGUUGUGUUGGUGUGCUUUCAGAGCUUUUUCGAUUCUUGCUUCUCUUCUCUUCUCUUCUCGAGGGCGACUUGCUGUCUCUUUCUGGCUCUCAGCUGUGAUUUAAGCGUGGGUGGCGGGUGGCUUGUCCUUCGCACCUAACGCCGUUGUUGCAACCGUUUGUCGUUGUGGUUAUCGUGGCUGCAUUUGAACCAAUUCGAAUCGAGGGUUAGCGGAGGUGCUUCUGUGACUCUUUCCGCGAUGAGGAGGCACUAUCGUUCUCGUGGUUACUUGAAAA